rnacentral:misc_RNA from 1 species
GGUUUUAGUUAUAGAUGCAGGUGUGUAAUCUCUUCUUAUUUUUGUUAUGGUCUAGCGAACGGAGCUGCAGAAAAUCCUCCUGGUAAGUGUUGCUUUGCUUGCCACAUGAAAUUCUUGCUGAUUCCUCUUUAUUUCUUCUUCAUUUAGGAUGGGCAAAAGAAUUUGAUAAACCAUCUCAUUUACUUGAGAGGCCAUCACUCUUUGGAGCACUGGUUCAGGAGUAUGCCAACCGUUCAGCUGGAUUAUGAUGAACCAGGUUUUUUUUUUUUUCCCUGCUGCUGCUAAUCUUGUGAAGACCACAACCUGAUUUGCUCAAGAUGUCAUUCCACUUAGCUUCAAAAGAAGAUCCUUCUCAUUUAAAUGUACCAGAAAAUUAUAUCUAAAUUUUCAUUUCCCAUUAUACUUUGAUCGUAAUGUAAUGAUCAAAUCAUAGAAAACAUGAUUAGUGUUAUUGAUAGUUAAUGUAAGUAAACGAUGUUAGCGUCUCUCAUCUUUGGAAGAACAUCAAUUAUCUAAUGUACUAGUUCCAAUGAUCAAUAUAUUAUUCUAGGACUGCGUCAUCUGG